ensembl:lncRNA
CUCCUGCCGCGCUUACCUCAGCGCGCGCGUCGUCGUCGCCGUCAUCAGUCUGAAGUGACAUUUGACACGCGCUCGGGAGAGAACUGCGCGGGCUUGUCCGGUGCAUCUCGCGCUCUGAAGUGGUCACCUCGUCGGAAGUCACAGAGUUCACUCUGCUCCUCGCUCGGCGGGACUGUGGAAGCCUUAUCUGAUCAACGCUGUCUCCAACUUGAGCGAAGAAAGAUAAGAACAACUCCUUGGGAUUCUCCAUACACCGUUCAUCUGGUUAUCGAUCUUGAUGCUGUUUGUAUUCAUAUGUCUACUACUUCUGAAGCACCCCGUGAUGGAUAUCCAUGCUAAAGAGCUUCUGCAUGCAAUGAAUGAGCUGUUUAUGCUCCUGCCCAUAUGCAUACAAGAUACCGCACAUGUCACCUACAUCAUUUUGUAAAAGGGUCCCUUACUCUCCCUCUCUCUCUCUUUCUCCCUCUCUUUCUCUUUCUCC